rnacentral:rRNA from 1 species
AAUAGCCUAACGGCUGAACCAGCAACUUGGAAGAAUGUAUAGCGAAAGCUAAUUGCACCAAUUAAUUGAUGCAGUAUCGACUAUGUCGAAUAAAAUUCUAGGUAGAAUUAUGAUAAUGACAUUAUUUACCUAUGUGUCUUGACCAAAUUACGUGCCAGCAGUCGCGGCAAUACGUAGAAGACUAGUGUUAUUCAUCUUUAAUAGGUUUAAAGCGUACCUAGACGGUAAAUCAAGCCUUAAUCGGGACUAAUUUGCUAGAGUUACUUGUGAGGGGGUAUUAAAGUACUUGUGGUGUAGAGAUAAAAUUCUGUCAUACCUUUUUUCGAAAGAAAAGUAAUGGCACAGGUAGAGGCGAAAGCAUCCCCUUAUGUGAUAACUGACGUUGAAGGACGAAGGCUUUGUGUCGCGAACAGGAUUAGAUACCCCAGUAGUCAAAGCAGAAAAUGAUGAGUGUCAUAGAUUAGAUAUAAUAAAAAGUUUAUUCUAUAAAUGAAAGUGUAAGCACUCCACCUCAAGAGUAAUUUGGCAACAUUGGAACUGAAAUCAUUAGACCGUUUCUGAAACCAGUAGUGAAGUAUGUUGUUUAAUUUGAUAACCCGCAAAAAACCUUACCACAAUUUGAAUAUUUAGAUUUUAUCUAUUAUUUACUUUUUAUUUUCUAAAAAAAAAAGAAAGUGGAAUAGUAGAAGAUUUAAUUACAAGCGUUGCACGGCUGUCUUCAGUUAAUGUCGUGAGACUUUGGUUAGAUCCAUUAAAUUAACGCAAGCCCCUACUUUAUUUUCAUAUAAAGUUGUUCCCCGCUAUAUUGGAUUGAUAACAGG